rnacentral:rRNA from 1 species
GAUGAACGCUGGCGGCGUGCCUAAUACAUGCAAGUCGAGCGAACGGACGAGAAGCUUGCUUCUCUGAUGUUAGCGGCGGACGGGUGAGUAACACGUGGAUAACCUACCUAUAAGACUGGGAUAACUUCGGGAAACCGGAGCUAAUACCGGAUAAUAUUUUGAACCGCAUGGUUCAAAAGUGAAAGACGGUCUUGCUGUCACUUAUAGAUGGAUCCGCGCUGCAUUAGCUAGUUGGUAAGGUAACGGCUUACCAAGGCAACGAUGCAUAGCCGACCUGAGAGGGUGAUCGCCCACACUGGAACUGAGACACGGUCCAGACUCCUACGGGAGGCAGCAGAAGGGAAUCUUCCGCAAUGGGCGAAAGCCUGACGGAGCAACGCCGCGUGAGUGAUGAAGGUCUUCGGAUCGUAAAACUCUGUUAUUAGGGAAGAACAUAUGUGUAAUUAACUGUGCACAUCUUGACGGUACCUAAUCAGAAAGCCACGGCUAACUACGUG